GACGAACGCUGGCGGCGUGCCUAAAACAUGCAAGUCGAACGGUGACGAGAGAACUUGCUCUCUCUGAUCAGUGGCGUACGGGUGAGUAACACGUGAGUAAUCUGCCGGUCUGUGGGGGAUACCGUCCCGAAAGGGACGUUAAUACCGCAUAGGUCGAUGGCUCCGCCUGGAGCUGUCGGGAAAGAUUUAUCGCAGAUCGAGGAGCUCGCGACCUAUCAGCUAGUUGGUGUAGUAACGGUGCACCAAGGCGACGACGGGUAGCCGGCCUGAGAGGGUGAUCGGCCACACGGGGACUGAGACACGGCCCAGACUCCUACGGGGGGCAGCAGUUGGGAAUCUUGCGCAAUGGGGGAAACCCUGACGCAGCGACGCCGCGUGCGGGAUGACGGUCUUCGGAUUGUAAACCGCUUUUCUCGGGGACGAUAAUGACGGUACCCGAGGAAUCAGCCCCGGCUAACUCCGUGCCAGCCGCCGCAGUAA
rnacentral:rRNA from 1 species